AACGAACGCUGGCGGCAUGCCUAACACAUGCAAGUCGAACGAGACCUUCGGGUCUAGUGGCGCACGGGUGCGUAACGCGUGGGAACCUGCCCUUAGGUUCGGAAUAACUCCCCGAAAGGGGUGCUAAUACCGGAUAAUGUCUUCGGACCAAAGAUUUAUCGCCUUUGGAUGGGCCCGCGUUGGAUUAGCUAGUUGGUAGGGUAAAAGCCUACCAAGGCGACGAUCCAUAGCUGGUCUGAGAGGAUGAUCAGCCACACUGGGACUGAGACACGGCCCAGACUCCUACGGGAGGCAGCAGUGGGGAAUAUUGGACAAUGGGCGAAAGCCUGAUCCAGCAAUGCCGCGUGAGUGAUGAAGGCCUUAGGGUUGUAAAGCUCUUUUAACCGGGAAGAUAAUGACAGUACCGGGAGAAUAAGCUCCGGCUAACUCCGUG
rnacentral:rRNA from 1 species